AGGUGUAUAGCAAAAAAUUGCAUUUGGUUUCGACCCAAAAGAAGCUUUAACUAAGCUACACUUA
rnacentral:tRNA from 1 species